rnacentral:rRNA from 1 species
GACGAACGCUGGCGGCGUGCUUAACACAUGCAAGUCGAGCGAGUGGAUUCCCUUCGGGGAUGAAGCUAGCGGCGGACGGGUGAGUAACACGUGGGCAACCUGCCUUAUAGAGGGGGAUAGCCUUCCGAAAGGAAGAUUAAUACCGCAUAACAUCAGAUUAUCGCAUGGUAGACUGAUCAAAGGAGCAAUCCGCUAUAAGAUGGGCCCGCGUCGCAUUAGCUAGUUGGUGAGGUAACGGCUCACCAAGGCGACGAUGCGUAGCCGACCUGAGAGGGUGAGCGGCCACAUUGGGACAGAGACACGGCCCAGAGUCCUACGGGAGGCAGCAGUGGGGAAUUUUGCACAAUGGGGGAAACCCUGAGGCAUCAACGGCGCGUGAGUGAUGAAGGCCUUCGGGUUGUAAAGCUCUUUGAUCAGGGACGAUAAUGACGGUACCUGAAGAACAAGCCACGGCUAACUACGUGCCAGCAGCCGCCGUAAAAC